GACGAACGCUGGCGGCGUGCCUAAUACAUGCAAGUAGAACGCUGAAGAGAGGAGCUUGCUCUUCUUGGAUGAGUUGCGAACGGGUAAGUAACGCGUAGGUAACCUGCCUUGUAGCGGGGGAUAACUAUUGGAAACGAUAGCUAAUACCGCAUAACAAUGGAUGACACAUGUCAUUUAUUUGAAAGGGGCAAUUGCUCCACUACAAGAUGGACCUGCGUUGUAUUAGCUAGUAGGUGAGGUAAUGGCUCACCUAGGCGACGAUACAUAGCCGACCUGAGAGGGUGAUCGGCCACACUGGGACUGAGACACGGCCCAGACUCCUACGGGAGGCAGCAGUAGGGAAUCUUCGGCAAUGGGGGCAACCCUGACCGAGCAACGCCGCGUGAGUGAAGAAGGUUUUCGGAUCGUAAAGCUCUGUUGUAAGUCAAGAACGGGUGUGAGAGUGGAAAGUUCACACUGUGACGGUAGCUUACCAGAAAGGGACGGCUAACUACGUG
rnacentral:rRNA from 1 species